rnacentral:rRNA from 1 species
AGAGUUUGAUCAUGGCUCAGAUUGAACGCUGGCGGCGUGCCUAACACAUGCAAGUCGAACGCGAAAGUCUCUUCGGAGAUUAGUAGAGUGGCGCACGGGUGAGUAACGCGUGGAUAAUCUACCUAUUGGUACGGGACAACAGUUGGAAACGACUGCUAAUACCGUAUACGCUGGAAACGGGAAAGGGGGCCUCUUCUUGAAAGCUCUCGCCAGUAGAUGAGUCCGCGUUUCAUUAGCUAGACGGUGGGGUAACGGCCUACCGUGGCAACGAUGAAUAGCAGGCCUGAGAGGGUGGCCUGCCACACUGGGACUGGAACACGGCCCAGACUCCUACGGGAGGCAGCAGUGGGGAAUAUUGCGCAAUGGACGAAAGUCUGAUGCAGCAACGCCGCGUGAGCGAUGAAGGCCUUCGGGUCGUAAAGCUCUGUCCUAAGGGAAGAUAAUGACGGUACCUUAGGAGGAAGCCCCGGCUAACUACGUGCCAGCAGCCGCGGUAAUACGUAGGGGGCAAGCGUUAUCCGGAAUCACUGGGCGUAAAGGGUGCGUAGGCGGCUGAUAAAGUCCGAGGUGAAAGGCUACGGCUUAACCGUAGUAAGCCUUGGAAACUUAUCGGCUUGAGUACAGGAGAGGAAAGUGGAAUUCCUAGUGUAGCGGUGAAAUGCGUAGAUAUUAGGAGGAACACCAGUGGCGAAGGCGACUUUCUGGACUGUUACUGACGCUGAGGCACGAAAGCGUGGGGAGCGAACAGGAUUAGAUACCCUGGUAGUCCACGCCGUAAACGAUGAGUGCUAGGUGUCGGGGGUCGAACCUCGGUGCCGCAGCUAACGCAUUAAGCACUCCGCCUGGGGAGUACGUUCGCAAGAAUAAAACUCAAAGGAAUUGACGGGGACCCGCACAAGCAGCGGAGCAUGUGGUUUAAUUCGAAGCAACGCGAAGAACCUUACCAAGGUUUGACAUCCCCUUGACAGAUGCAGAGAUGUGUCCUCCCCUUCGGGGGCAAGGGAGACAGGUGGUGCAUGGUUGUCGUCAGCUCGUGUCGUGAGAUGUUGGGUUAAGUCCCGCAACGAGCGCAACCCUUAUCCUUAGUUGCCAGCAAGUUAAGUUGGGCACUCUAGGGAGACUGCCCGGGUUAACCGGGAGGAAGGUGGGGACGACGUCAAGUCAUCAUGGCCCUUACGCCUGGGGCUACACACGUACUACAAUGGUGCAUACAAAGGGUUGCGAUACCGUGAGGUGGAGCUAAUCCCAUAAAGUGCAUCCCAGUCCGGAUAGGAGUCUGCAACUCGACUCCUUGAAGUCGGAAUCGCUAGUAAUCCCGGAUCAGCAUGCCGGGGUGAAUGCGUUCCCGGGCCUUGUACACACCGCCCGUCACACCACGAAAGUUGGUUCUACCCGAAACCAGUGAGCUAACCAGCAAUGGAGGCAGCUGUCUACGGUGGGGCUGAUGAUUGGGGUGAAGUCGUAACAAGGUAAC